rnacentral:lncRNA from 1 species
UUGCAGAGGCGAACUCACGCCUUGCCACAACGUUGUAUUGACUUUCUUCAAACUUUAGACAUCCUGAAUUGAUCAAAGAUUGCACUUUAUGCUUUAGAGCCUUGCAUGCCUUUGUUGAAUGCCCACGCGCUCCUUCAUGAUAAUCACACCUGACAUUUAUGUCAUAGUUCUUUGGGUAAGGAGGUCGUACCGACCUGGUAUGACAAACUUUUAUGAGGUUGUUGCGCAGCAGAUUUGGCAGCAGCUCUGUAUAGGUCAUGGGGAUAGGAGUGAAAUUAACGACCUUCUCAUUACGAUUGUACUUUCUCUGCUCCAUGGCUCGAUUGGACCCAUAAGAAUGUGAUGUCUGGGAAUAGGUAGUAAAAUGCGAAUUAGUCUUUGGUUCUCUANNN